GACGAACGCUGGCGGCGUGCCUAAUACAUGCAAGUCGAGCGAAUCUGAUGGGAGCUUGCUCCUUGAUGAUUAGCGGCGGACGGGUGAGUAACACGUGGGUAACCUGCCUGUAAGACUGGGAUAACUCCGGGAAACCGGGGCUAAUACCGGAUAACUUUUUUCUUCGCAUGAGGGAGAAUUGAAAGAUGGCUUCGGCUAUCACUUACAGAUGUACCCGCGGCGCAGUAGCUAGUUGGUGAGGUAACGGCUCACCAAGGCGACGAUGCGUAGCCGACUUGAGAGGGUGGUCGGCCACACUGGGACUGAGACACGGCCCAGACGCCUACGGGAGGCAGCAGUAGGGAAUCUUCCGCAAUGGACGAAAGUCUGACGGAGCAACGCCGCGGGAGUGAUGAAGGGUUUCGGAUCGUAAAACUCUGUUGUUAGGGAAGAACAAGUAUCGUUCGAAUAGGGCGGUACCUUGACGGUACCUAACCAGAAAGCCACGGCUAACUACGUG
rnacentral:rRNA from 1 species